rnacentral:rRNA from 1 species
UACGGGGGGUGCAAGCGUUAUUCGGAAUCAUUGGGCGUAAAGGGCGCGUAGGCGGCUUCUUAAGUCAGAUGUGAAAGCCCGGGGUUUAACUCCGGAAGUGCAUUUGAAACUAAGGGGCUUGAGUAUGGGAGAGGGAAGUGGAAUUCCUGGUGUAGAGGUGAAAUUCGUAGAUAUCAGGAGGAACACCGGUGGCGAAGGCGACUUCCUGGACCAAUACUGACGCUGAGGCGCGAAGGCGUGGGGAGCAAACAGG